GAGUAUUUAAUGAUUAAGUGCAGACCCUUUUAUUAACAGAGAAAAUUCUCAGCCAUUGUUGUGACUGCGGUGUCCUUUUUUUGUUACUUCCGGUUUGGGUACGUCGUAUACAGGCCGUGCGAGCUAGUGGCUCUAAACGGGCACUGGCGCCUUGACCCCGUGACGUAUGACCAUUGCCGCUCAUCUGGUAUCCUUCGUAGCCCAAGAUAUAUACAUCGCUCUUCCAGAAGGAGAUACGUCCUUCAUCAGUCAUCAUCAUCUGCGAUCCCCUCUAUCUGGUCCAGUAGCAGGGCUUUGAAACAGUCGGCGCAUUCUCAUAAUCGGCAUCGCUCCCUUGUCAACAUUAAUAUAACUAACUCUGAGAUUGAGCAUACCCCUACUGUCAAUGGAACAAAUAAACACUGUGCCCUCCUAAAUUGUCGAUCUAUCUCAGGCAAAGGCACCUACAUAAAUGAGCUAAUAGUUGACAAUAAAUUUGAUAUGUUAUUUCUCACAGAGACUUGGCAGGUACCAGAUGAUUUUAUCCAGCUGAAUCUGCUUACCCCUACUGGAUAUCGACAUAUGUCAGAACCACGUACAACUGGUAAAGGGGGUGGUCUUGCUGUCAUUUUUCGUGCGUCAUUAACUGUCUCUGAACUGGUUUUCCUCCAAUAAAAAAUCUGCCCACAUUACCCCCCAGAUAGCAAACAUUCUGGCACAAUUUUGGCUUACACUGGGCAUUUAUGGCUUAAUUCGGGCUCUCUUUUGUUCACACCCUUGUGUGAAACAGCUUUCGGGGGAGUUGUGGCAUGAGUCUAGCCAGCCAAAAGCAAAAGGUACCUUUUUUGGUUGAGCCCUGGCUUGAGUUUGGUCUGCCAUAAAAGAGUAAAUAGUCGGCUGAGAUAUGGGUAGGUUCUGGUUAGCCAAAAAGCAAAAAGAUUCAUGCUAUUUUCUUUUAUAGGUAUAUACCAUUAUAAGGUUAAUUUUAUCCAAACAGUUUUAAUAACAUAAAAUGUUUUCUUGCAGUUUUUAAUUCCUUUAAAAUAUUUAUUCCUGUCGCAGAAACGCAUCAAAGGCUAUUUAAAAUGAGGACUACAAAGUAAUUAACCCUGUAAAGCCUACUUUUGUAAUAUUAUAACAUUAGUUUUGGCUGUAAUAAAAUAUACCUGUACUUUUUUUUUUCUUUAAAACCAUAUUGUUUAACCUUGCAAUGCAUUUGAAGGGUAGACUUUGAAAAUAGGUUGGUUUUCCUGGCUGUGAACUUACAAAACCUGCAAACCUGCCUUGAGGAACAUGAUCUUUUUUACUGAAAUAAAUAAAUAAAUCAACAAUCACCACAGGCGGAUGACGUCACAUUAUCGCGAGAUGUUAGACUUCUACGUGUGAUUUCUCGCUCUCGCGGUACCUAAUCCGAAAGUACGUAGCGACCAGCCACGCGUUACGGAGGGAAUAUUCAAACUGCUGUUCAGAGUUUGAUCAUCACGCGACGCGAAUUGUUUGUUUUUUGGAGUUCUUUUGGAGUUCUUGGAGUGAGUCUAUCGACUUUUGGAUUAACGUUACAUUGAGGUAAGUUGAUGCUUUUAAUACUGCAGACAAAUAAAUGUACAACAUUAUUUACUCAUCAAGCAUCAAGCAAUCCGAGAUACAUGUCCAUGGUCAUCUUUCAAACAAAGACAUUUGGAGUUAUCUUGGUAAAUGUCCUCACUCUUCCAAGCUUUAUAACAAUAGGAAACUGGAACCAGGGAACACAUUCCAGAUUUAAACACCCAAAAAGUCAAUUUAUCUUUCACAUGUAAUCCACACUGCUCAAUGGGUUAUUUGGGGUAUUUUGUGGGUAAUCGAUGCGAUUUUGUAAGAAAAGUAUCUAUAUUUCAAACUUUAUACACAGAAUACAUUUAUAUACAAUAUAAAGUUAGAAUUCUAUAUACUGCAAGUAUGUAUAAAUCCUUUUUGUAUACAAUACAUUUAAUUUUAAAGGUUUACCGGCAAACAACAUACUGAUUUUUAUUUCUUAUCACUAUCAUAGAUAAUUACAGUGAAGCACGUCGGAAGCUGCCUCUUGUAGAGCAACAAACGGAUCUGCAGUCAGAGGCAGAGACUGACCCCCUGAGAGCACCAAAACGGAAAAUGAAGUAAGCUUGUGUAAUUAUUGUAAUUCUUUAAAACAGACGAGUUACAUGUCUUGUGUCACUGCAGUUGUAGAAAGGACCAUGUUUGUUUAGAUGUAUUACUCAUUUUCUUUUCUUCUCUGUAGAUGAAACCGGCGUCUAUUGGUCGACUACGAUACAGAUGAGGAGGCCAUUGCACCGAAAAAGAAUUUGCCGCAAGCCCCAUACAUACAACCACUAUCAAAAAGAGCUUUCUCUGCUUUAGAUGAGGUUCAACCAAGUCCUCUACAACACAGACCCCAAAGGUCCCCAUCUGUGACACAGGUUCCAGGGACCUCAAAACAGGCUUUGAUGGAAAGAAGCCCUACCUCUCAAUGGCAGAACUUUGAAAGUGCUCUAGGAAAGUCGUUACGGCAAGCAAUAGACCUACCUGCACAGUCACCAGUUCAGACUCUUUUCCAGACUGCCCAUCAGAUGGGUCCAGAAGCAGAAAAUUAUAGUCAAUUGUCGUGGCAAAGAGGAUCAACGCUACAAUCUCCCGAGGAGCCAACACAACCUCUGUGGCAUCGUGAAACACCCAGAAGAAGCUAUUCAAUGGAUGAUCCAUUCAAAAAAUUAUUCUUUUGCAAAGAAACAUUGUACGGAUGAUUCAAGACCUGAAAUCCAACAAUGUAAGGGAGAUCACAGAGGAAAACGAACUAAGUCCCACUCUUUUUCCAGUGAAAGAUUUAAGGUCCCUAACUUCUCUUGAAAAUAAUCUUCGAUCCAGUCCUGAAACAAGACGGAAAGUGGUAAUUGAACUUGGAUUGCUUGGUGGGGUGGAUGCUAAGGACACAAUUUGGCGUAUAAUGAAACAGACAAUAAAAAACGACUUUGCAAAAAACGAUGAACUGGAAAGGCGCAAAUGGAAAAAACCCCAUUCCAAGGUCUUGAACUGAAAAACGUUGUGAUUGAGGCUGUGAGACGAAACCCACCAUUUAUGCACAAGUUCAUUUUGUUUAAAAUUUGCACUAUUGUUUUCUUUAGUUUUAAUUUUGUUUUCACACUUCUUUUGUCAUUUUUCAUAUUUGCCUUUCACGGUAUUAAAAUGUUUUUGAUCUUUCAUAACUAGCUUUUGUUUGGUUUCUUUUAAUUUAUGCACAACACUUACAUUUGUUUUUAAUUGUACUAUUGGUUUAAUUUUGUUUAUAAUGUAGUUUUUCUUUGCUGUGUGUUAUUCUUGUAUUUUGAUUUGAUUGCUUUGGUAUAAUUUUUUAUUACCAUGUUUUUUUUUAAAACAACAAUUACAAUAAACACGUUAAUUUGCAUUUGUGUGGUUGUGCUUUUUGAAUAUACACAUUUUACCUAGUUAAAUCAUUUUGGUACAGUUAUGGCUUUUUUUUGGUGGGCUUCUGGAUAAGUUGUGGGUGGGUUCUGGGGUAAAUAUGGUAAAUUUGGGCCUUUUAUGGUAGACAUCUGGGGCUUCUGGAUAAAUUGUGGGUGGGUUCUGGGGUAAAUCUGGUCAAUUUGGAAAUUCUGGCUUUGUAGCGGGACAGCUGUGGCUGAUUUCUGGAGGUGUGAAUGGGUUGUGGUUGAGUUAUGGUCUGCUUUUGGCUAAAGUCUGGAUUACUUCAGGCAUGCAGCUUUAGAGCCAAUUAAGGACCGUAAGCCGUGGUGGUAUGUGAGCCAAAAGAACAGCCUGAACUCAGCCCUUUCUGGCCCAGAAAAAAUUUGCUAUCUGGGCCCUGUAUUAUUUGAUCUUCACUGGCUUCCAGUCUCAUCUCGCAUAAAAUAUAAAAUCAUACUGCUCACUUAUAAGGCACUAAAUGCUCUUUCUCCCCCCUAUCUUUCUGAUCUUCUCUCAUCCUAUGUUCCUUCACGAUCACUCCGGUCUUCAAAUUCUGAACUUCUAUGGGUUCCUAGAUACCGUCUAUCCUCUGCGGGUGGCAGAUCCUUUUCUGUCAAUGCUCCAAUACUUUGGAACUCCCUACCAAUUGCACUCAGAACCAUCACCACUUUGACUGAAUUUAAAUCAAGGCUUAAGACCCACCUUUUCAACCUCCACUAUCAGUCAAUGCAUAUGUGUUAGGAGUCCUUAAUUUUUCUGAAAUGUGGUGAAUGUUUCAUGUACUAUUUAGUGUUCUUUCUCUUGUCCUGUAUGUUUUUGUGUCUGUGUUGUCUCUGUUAUUAACUCAUGCAGCUGCAUGUGAUCCUUCGUCCUGGGCAAAUGUCCGACGAAUAUGUUUAUGUUUAUGUAUGUCCAUUAUAUUUCAUCUGUCUUGAAAUAUUGUACCCUGUAAAGCGUCCUUGAGCUUGGGAAAGGCGCUAUAUAAAUUAAACUUAUUAUUAUUAUACAUUCCGCCGGAUGCUAAUGCUAAGCUAGCUAUGGAGGAACUUCACGCAGCUAUCAGCAAACAGCAGUCUGCCCAUCCUGAAGGAGCUAUUGUUGUUGCUGGAGAUUUCAACCACUCCAACCAAUUUCUCCUGCUCUACCAGAGGGGUCAAAACACUGUACCAGGUAUACACAAACAUAAAUGGGGCAUACAUGGCCAUUCCCCUCCCCCACUUGGGUCAGUCUGAUCACCUC